GCAUAAUGAGCCUGCGAGUUGUGGUGUCUGGCAAGGUUAAGCAAACGCGAAGCCGUAGCGAAAGCGAGUCUGAAUAGGGCGCUUAGUCAGAUGCUGCAGACCCGAAACGAAGUGAUCUAUCCAUGAGCAAGUUGAAGCUAGUGUAAGAACUAGUGGAGGACUGAACCCAUAGGCGUUGAAAAGCCCCGGGAUGACUUGUGGAUAGGGGUGAAAGGCCAAUCAAACUUCGUGAUAGCGGGUUCUCUCCGAAAUAUAUUUAGGUAUAGCGUUGUGUCGUAAUAUAAGGGGGUAGAGCACUGAAUGGGCUAGGGCAUACACCAAUGCACCAAACCCUAUCAAACUCCGAAUACCUUAUAUGUAAUCACAGCAGUCAGGCGGCGAGUGAUAAAAUCCGUCGUCAAGAGG
rnacentral:rRNA from 1 species